UUAUAUAACAUAAAUGAUAUUCAUAUAAUAUAAAUAAUAAUAUACCAAUAUUAAUUAACUCUUUUAUUAUUUGGACAAAUCAAAUAGACACAUCAAUUAGUAUUAGUAUUUUGUUAUUUUUUAUAAAUAUUAUGUCAAAUUUAAAAAAUAUAAAAUAUAGAAGUAUUAAUUUUAAAUUUUAAAUAAAUCAUUACCAGUAAAAUAAAAUAAAAAAAAAUUCUAUAAUUUCAUUUAAAAUUAUAUAAAUUUGAUUAAAAUUAAAACUUUAUCGUUUUAUUGCGUAGUUUUAGUUUUGAGGGAAAUGAAAACUUUAACUACAACAAAUAACACCCAUUACAUAGUAAAUCCUAAUUCUAUUUUCUCUCAAGCCUCCUCUGCCCUCUAACCUUACAGCAAUAACCAUCGUUUCUUCUCCUUCAAUCUUGGUUCUCACCGUCUUGCUGCUCGCCAUCAUAUUUCAUCAAGCCUCCACCCUCGACGAUCAUCUAGUUAUCUUUCUUCUUCAAACACUUGCAUUAGCCGUACGUAAUAUAGUGGAUUAUUUUACAAGGAAAAGUUUCAGUUGUGGCUAAACAUUGGGUUCAUGAUGCUCAGAAGGACAGAAAGGGAAAUAGAUAAUUAGAGGCUAUGUAAAGGAAAGGGAAAUGGACAGUUGCAUGAUUAGCCAGGCUAUUGAGAUUUCCCUCCUUAACUUGAUGCAACAAAGGAAGUACUGUUAGUUUAAGUGAUGGAUUAUAUGUCCUAGUUGGAUAGAGAAUGUAUAUACUAUUCAAACGGAAAUUGUCCACCUCUCUUAUAGUCAAAGGAGCACAUCAUCUCAACCUCAUGUGGCUGAAACAAUUCAACCUUCGAGCCAACAUGAAAAAGAGAUGGACAGAAGGAUGAAAAGGCUAAGAUCUUAGGGAAGAGAUGUGGCAUCUAGAUUCAUACAAAACACAAGAAGACCAAGCAUUGAAUCUUAGACAUGAAUUAUGACUUUGUGGUAGUUUGUAAGCUGUACAGGACAGGCACCAUUGGCUUUUUUAUAAGGUUGUCUAUCAAAUAGAAAAUAGGUAGAAAACAUUUACUCUAACUGCUAUUUUAUUUACCUAAGUUUCUACUAUAAGGCCAUAUUUUGUUGGUGAAAUGGCACUUUUAUACCAUAUGAUUUUUAUUUUGUGUUUUACAAUUGAAACAAGAAAUUCUGUU